UACGUAGGGUGCAAGCGUUAUCCGGAUUCACUGGGUUUAAAGGGAGCGCAGGCGGAUUGGUAAGUCAGUGGUGAAAGGCUUAAGCUUAACUUGGGAACUGCCAUUGAUACUAUCAGUCUUGAAUGUUGUUGAGGUUUGCGGAAUGGGUCAUGUAGCGGUGAAAUGCAUAGAUAUGACCCGGAACACCUAUUGCGAAGGCAGCAGGCUAAACAAAUAUUGACGCUGAGGCUCGAAAGCGUGGGGAUCAAACAGG
rnacentral:rRNA from 1 species